GGCAGCUCCAUUCAUAUGGCCGAUGCUUUCAUUUGCACCUUCUGGCUGAGAACUCCCUUCAGUUGUCUGAAACAGAAAUGAAAUGUCAGUGAAGUUGUGCCCUUUUGAAGUGAUGUACGUACUCUGCCACUUUCUGGAAAUAGCCCACAGGUGGAAUUACUUGGCCUCCACAGCUCUGCAUGGAUUCAGCUAUGAAGGCAGCAAUCUACAAAAAACAAACUCAGGACCUGCGGGGCCAUGGGGACCAACUGGGCCAUCUACACCCUAUGAAAGGAAACAAAGAGGUGUGUGAGCGUGGCCGGCGGAGCCGCUGGAAAGCACACGGACUCGGUAAUGAAGAGCAACACAGAAAGACGAGGGACUCACCCGGGGUCCUGGCUUUCCGUCUAAGCCAGAUGCUCCCUGUGUGGUUAGGUGGAAGCAUGGAUGAUGGGUACAACACGAAUGACAAGAACGUGAGAUUAGUAAGUGGUGCUGAUGAAUAAACAUAAUUCAAACGUACAGUACAAGUUGUGACAGGGUUCUGGAAUGGGUAUCACAUUACUACAGCAUGUUAGUUAAAAAUUCACAUAAAACAUCAAGAGCCUGAUUCCAUUCUCACAUUAGUGUAACAUCGCUGACCCGCCCCUGCCUUCACAUCACAGUAUAUUAGACCAGAAUAACGUCAAGCUACAGGAGUGCUACAAACACCAGAUGUCAGGGUGUUUUUGAGCCUUAACACGCAAAUAUUUACUUCGUAAUUUACUUGCAUGCUUUCUAAUUUGUAAAUAACGACAAUAGUGAAUACUAUACUACACAAAGAAAAAUGUAUGUUAACUGUGAUAGGAAGUAUUUAAGUGCAAGAAUACUGCAUUAUGCAGCCAACAAAAUCUGGAUCCUGACUACAAUGGCUUCAUUCAUUUCCAAGAGCCCGGGAGACAAUCACGUUUCCUGUUUUCCCAAUAUACUCCCAGUUCAGAGCACAGUCAAGGGCUGGAAGUGGGUAGCACCCGGCACUUCGGGCUAUUUGCUUCAGCAUCCUUGGGGACGGGCUGACCUCUGGUGGAUUUUAUGCGAAUAACAGAGCAGCACCGAACGACCGGCUCGACUAUCCCAACACUGCUGGCAGUAAUGCUGGGGCUAGGGGGACCAAAACUAUUUGGAACAUAGGGAAUAAUCUGGGCCAAAAAAACCCCAAUCCAAACCCCCCCCCCCCCCCCCCCAAAAAAAAACCCAAACCCCUCGUUAACGGUGAAAAUGAGCCAUUUUUAGAAAGUCAAAUACUUAGACUUUGCUCCUUAAAAUGACAUUUAGAAAAAGUAGUAAGCAGGAGCAAGACAAGAUCUAUAUACAUUUGAAAAACUAAUGGCAUAUUUUGCUCUGGGUUGGAACAAACAUUUCUGGCAGAUACAAAACUUGCUUCUUCCUUUUAGCCAUUUUCAGGGGGUUGGCUCAGACCUCCAAAGCUCCCUCUCUACAUAGCUGUAACUGUCAACUUGAAAAUGAUCUUUUUUUUUUUCCAAAAUAAAUUAAAAUUCUCAGUGAAGCUGACCUUGUCCAGAGGCCCUGCACAUAAUUCUUGAAAAUAUUAAUCAGAGGGGUUUGGGUUCCUUUGGGUCAACUAAGCCUUUUUCCUCCAUUUUACUAUUAACAAUGUAAUCACAUGGAGUAAUCCUCACAUGAAAAAAAAAAAAAAAAAAAAAAAAAAAAAAAAAAGGAAAACCAAAUUCUUUUUGUGAGGAAAAAAUAAAACCAACUUGUCAGAGUGCUUUCAUGCACACAAAGAAAGCACACAAAGUAUUUGCUCUUUUGUCAACCUAAAUUUUAAGAACCAUAUUGUUUCCACAUGAAAAUUUAUUUUUAAGGUCCUUCAUUUCUUUCUAAGACAAAAUUUAUGCCAAACACUCAGAAUGGAAAUCUUCUCAAGAACAAGGUAAAAGAAACAACCCACCAUCCUUAAUGAAUGAGAAAAAAAAAAUUCCCUAAACCAAUUUUUAACUUUCCUCAGUUAGACCUCUCCAUUUUAACUGCAGAAGUGCCAACAGGGGAAGAAUAACUGAAGAGAUGGCGGGGAAAGGGAAGAUUCCUUUUUUAAUGCAAACACCAUACAACACUUAAAUAACAAUAUGACUAAUGUAAUGGGGGUGAUGACAUCCUUGUGACACUGAACACUUUCAACUGACACAUAACAAAAAAAACCUGACAGCACUGGUUGUUACAGGAUGUUACUUUGGACAAGAGCACAGAUUUGGGGUAAAAAAACCAAGACUGAUGCUCUGCUCUAACCUGGUAUAUUCUAUGUAUGCUGUUGAGUAAACCAGAGUUGUUCAUCAGGAGUAGAAAGAGAAGUUUGUGAUUUGCACUGAGAUUGAAUAGUUGGGUUUUUUUACUUACUGGAAGACCAAGGGGCCCUCUGUCACCCUUUUGACCUGGUUCACCCUUCAAUCCUUUAAGACCAUUUAACCCUGGUUCACCCUAAACGUAAAAGUAUAAAUGCCAAAUUUUUGGUGCUAUAACGGGUGUUUAAGCUGGGAUAGAAGAAGCCAGUCUCAGAAAUGGCUGCAAAUUCCAGUUUGAAACAAGGACACAAAUUCAACCUUCUCAGCUUCCUGGCAAUUUACAUAUGGAUAUAGUAGUGGGCAAAAGCACCUGGGAGGCGUCUGCUGGAGAUUUAAAAUCUGUGUGAAAAAAACUAAAGGAAACUUAUGAGUAACAGGUUCUUUUGAAUCUUUUCCUAAUAAUUAUCACUAUAGUUAGAUGGUUUGAGUUAAGCAUGAGUUUGAGGGGUUUUUGGAAUUUCCUCAAAUCCCAUAAACCAUCCCACGCAGAUAAUUCAAACUGAAGGAAAACUUUCAGAAAAAUAAGCCUCAAAACUGCAGGUUUCUACAGUGGGAUCUCCUGAAAAGUACGUUUUUUAAGGAAGCAAUAUUUUUUCUUAUGGCAAACUGGAAUUUGCAGCAAAUUCUUACAUAAAGAUAUUUUAAACCUUUAAGCAUACAUAAUUAAACAGUAACAAAUUAAAAGAAACAGUAUAGGUUAUACAAUGCCAAGCUAUUUGGGAGCUCCAUAGUUUCUGUGUUCAUACAGAGAAGUUUAAACAAUGUAAGAAAUGGCACUUGUCUUGUUGUGAUUGUUAAAUUAUGCAUAGGCUAUUACAUUAAACAUCACUAAGCGUAUAAUGUUGGGCUUGGAGUUGCCAAUAAAUCAUUCUCAUGUCAUGAAAAACUACCUCAGCAUGAGGGCUGCCCAGUCAAAAAGAGUACUGACCACACCUGCCUCUUUUGGGAAACAGAAAUAUGUGGGUAUUUCAUCCAGGCUGCUCCUCAUGGCCUUGUUCCUAGGUUUCCCUUUGAUGUAUUAUGUUACCUUAUAUCAUAUUCAUUUAAAAAAAAAAAAAAAAAAAUCUCAACAGAAUCUAGUCUACUGCUUUAAGUAACUCCAGACAUCAUCUGCCUGCUUUGCACCCUAAGUACCCAUUUCUUCAUUCUUCUUCUAUUUGACUCGAUGUGACUGUCAGAGCAGUAGCACUGAAAACGCUGAAGUUUUGGAAACAGACCUGAGAAAUCUCACAAAAGCCUGAGUCUCAGGCCAAAAGCCUAAGUCUCAGGCCAAAAGCCUGAGGUAAGGCAGGGCUGGUGCUGAUGGAACAGACUUGACUUAAAAAAAUGAUUUAUGACUCUGGCUUCUUGUGCCAAGGUAACACAAACAGUCUCAUAAUGAGUCAAACCUGUGAUUUUCUGUCUCAUACCUUAAAAAAACCAAAACAAAAUCCAAAAAUUAAAUAAAAAAAAAACCUCCCUCCUCUUACUUAUUUUUUGAGAAAGGUGCAUGUGAUUAGGGAGCCAUAGUGAUUAAAAUGAUCAUGCCUGACAACACUGCUGGCCCUAAUGAAUACUAUGCUGUAAUGUCACAAUGAAUUUUAGUUUACUGGUGAUUGCUGAAUUAAAGCACAAAUUAAAAUAUUCCAA